UUGAGUUUUAGCCUUGCGGCCGUACUCCCAGGCGGGGCGCUUAAUGCGUUAGCUACGGCACGGAUCCCGUGGAAGGAAACCCACACCUAGCGCCCACCGUUUACGGCGUGGACUACCAGGGUAUCUAAUCCUGUUCGCUACCCACGCUUUCGCUCCUCAGCGUCAGUUACUGCCCAGAGACCCGCCUUCGCCACCGGUGUUCCUCCUGAUAUCUGCGCAUUUCACCGCUACACCAGGAAUUCCAGUCUCCCCUGCAGUACUCAAGUCUGCCCGUAUCGCCCGCAAGCUUGGGGUUGAGCCCCAAGUUUUCACGGACGACGCGACAAACCGCCUACGAGCUCUUUACGCCCAGUAAUUCCGGACAACGCUCGCACCCUACGUAUUACCGCGGCUGCUGGCACGUAGUUGGCCGGUGCUUCUUCUGCAGGUACCGUCACUCUCGCUUCGUCCCUGCUGAAAGAGGUUUACAACCCGAAGGCCGUCAUCCCUCACGCGGCGUCGCUGCAUACAGGCUUUCGCCCAUUGUGCAAUAUUCCCCACUGCUGC
rnacentral:rRNA from 1 species